UACGUAGGUGGCAAGCGUUGUCCGGAUUUACUGGGCGUAAAGAGCGCGCAGGCGGUCGUUCAAGUCGCGUGUGAAAGCCCCCGGCUCAACUGGGGAGGGUCACGCGAUACUGAUCGACUCGAAGGCAGGAGAGGGAAGUGGAAUUCCCGGUGUAGUGGUGAAAUGCGUAGAUAUCUGGAGGAACACCGGUGGCGAAGGCGGCGUUCUGGACUGCAACUGACACUGAAAAACGAAAGCCAGGGGAGCAAACGGG
rnacentral:rRNA from 1 species